GGAAAAUGAAAGAUAAAUUAAUAAACCAGCAGAGUGAGAGAUGCCCUAUAGAAGAGGAUGUCUGCUUGCAGAGCUGUUGAUCCCCCAGGCAUGUGGUGUGCUGUUGUCCCCACCACGCCUCCAGCACCAGCAAGCAGAAGAUGUCAUCUCCCCACACCUUCCUGAAGAUGGGCAGAGGUCCCUGCUGGAAGCCCCUCUGCUUGGCACGGGGCUGCUCGCUCCUCUGGGCACCACAGUGAUUCCCAAGGCCUUGUCUCAGGGCUUUGCACUCAACCCUUCUUCCGGGGCUGCUUCUCUCUCCGUGUGGUGAGGGAGGACACCUUCCCUGCACAUAGAUGGACGGGACCAUCCUCAGUAGGCUCACACCAUGGCACCUUGCAGGGGAACAGUGAGAUGUCCCAGCACCAGCAGGUGUUUGGAGCAGCAUCAGCAGCCCUGAGCCCUGCUUUGCUCUGUCGGGUGUGGGUGUGUGUCUGCGGGCUCCGAGGGCACCCACCUGCAGGACACCUGUGGAGAUGAGAUCAGGCAGCGCCCCGGGGACGCAGGCCAAGACAGAGCAGUGGUUUCCCAGCGAGGGACUGGAUG
rnacentral:lncRNA from 1 species